AAUAAAAUUGCUUUUUCAAUGUCAUACUUCAUUGUCGUUGACAACUUUACCCCUAUGUUUUCAAAUGUUUUCUGCAUCUACUACAGCUGGAGGGAAAUUGUUAAAACAUUUAGUUUCCGCUCCCGCCACUUCUCUCUCGUAUCCGCGAGAGAUUCGAUCAAUCACCGUCCCUUCCUUCUACUGCUACAACUACUUUGGAGAUACAGGGCUCGACUUUUGUUUCCUAUGGCGAAAUCUAAAGAAGAGGAGGAAGAAGAAGAGAAAUCAAACGGACUUGAAAUAGUUUCAAUCGGAUCUCUAUACACUGGAAUCUGGGAUAAGAAGUACUGGAGUUCUUCUAGGGGUAAAGAUCGCUAUCCUUAUCCUGUUGGAUAUCAAGCUCGUCGAGCUUAUCAUGGAAGCACUUAUAAGAUGGAAAUUCAGGAAGGUCCUAAAGGACCAUUAUUUCUGAUUACUUCUGCUGGUGGACAUUCCUGUUCUGGGCAAACGCCAGAUAUUGCAUGGGAGAAAUUUCAGAAGAAAGGUUGCUCACGCAUGAAGAUCUGGCAUGGAAAAAGAUAUUCUUGCAAGAUAGAUGGCAUAGAGUUCUUUGGGUUUAGAAAUCCGUUAGUCCAAAGGUUACUUCGGGAGCUGGUGGCAAAUGUCAAUGGAAUAGCAGAACAGAGCCUGUUAGCUUCCAUUUUCUGCAAUGGAGCUUCCAAUAUAGAACCCAGUAAUCAAUACCAAGAUCCAAGCACAUCUUCUGAUCUGUUAUCACAUUUGGCAAGAUCACAUGUUACAGGGAAAAGAAGCAAGAGGUGUGAAUUAAUAAAUCCGAAGCCAUCUAGAAUUGAUGGUCUUAAGAGACUUUGUGCUGGAGAUUCAUCACAUGGGAGUCAUAAGCAAAGAACUUCUUUGCCUUCCUCUACAUUUAGUUUUAAUGAAAUGCAUGACUCUUGCAUGCUUCCAGGAGCAGUGCCAGCAGGACUGCAAUUAAAUUCUGCAACUGGAAAAGAAAAUGCUCAAUCUUCAGCCAAAGAUGAUUUGCUUUUGGAAUCUGUUCACUACCCUAAUCAUCUUAUGGAGAAAGCUGUAUCUUCCUAUGAAGAGAGCAAGCUUGCUGGUUCUGAAAAUAAUGAAUCCAACACUGCAGUCAGCAACUCCUGCUUAGAAGAAAAACCUCUUGAUAGGUUGCAAGAUACUGAAGUGAAAGAAUCAAAUUUUGCAGCAUCACCAAAAUUGAAAGCUGUUGACGCACCUUGUUUAGAAAAAUCUCAAAUGGUUAAUGAUGUUGAUCUUUGUGUUCCUGAUACUGAAUUGCAAGGGCUGAAUUUUCCAGCAUCAUUGGAAUUCAAAGCAGUGGAUGACCCAUGUCCAGAAGAAUCUCAAAGUGUCCAUGAUGUUAAUCUUUGUGCUCCUGAUACCUUAGAUUUCUUGCAAGAUGAUACAAAAAAUUCUGCUCCAAUUACCUCUGAUAAAAUUACUUGUGGAGUCAAAGAAGUGUUAAUGGUUACUGAUUUGGUUGUUUCUGAACAUUUGGUGAAUACAUCGUGUCUUGAAGAAGAAGAAGCAGGCACAUCUAAUUCAAAUGUCGGUUCUGAAAAAAGUGAUUUUGAUUCUGUUGGUCAAGAUAUAGCCAAGUCAAUGAUGACAGUUCUGCUUCCCCAAGCUGUUCCUCUGCUCAAAAAAACCUCAAGGAAGAAAAAGAAAACCAUCAGCUCCUCAAAGAAUUUUCCUUCUAUAUGUAAACCUUAUGAAGAAAGUAAUGGAACUGGCUCCUUUAUGAAGGCUCAAUCACCUAAUGUAGAUCACUCGGUUGUACGAAGUUGUGGACAUACCAAUUCUAUUAUUCUGGACAAGUUUGAUGGUGACCAGUGUCAAGAUCAUGUAAUGAACCGAGAAGUAUUUCCCUCCAACAAUGUGGAAGCUGCUCAUCUUAGUUUUGGUGAAGAUGCUUUUUGUCUGAAUGGUGACGAACAGUUUGUUGAGACUAGAUAUAUUUUAUAUCAUGAUGAAGGGCAACUGGGUGAGAGUAAGAUGCCCCUGGAUGGUGAUCUCUUUGUAUCUGAAUCUAACUUAGGUUGCAUGCCUGCCAGCAAGAAAGUUUCCACUCAUGUAAAUCAGUUCUUUUGCAAAAAUCUGGAUGAAGACUCAUCAGGUGCUGAGAUCAAUUCUGAGGAAAAAAUUGUGCCUGAUUGUGAUAAAGGUCUAGGUGCAAGUGCUGCUAGUGUAGAAGCCUUGGGGAGUUCAUUGCAAUUAUCAAGGACGAACACUCUUGUUAAGGAUGGAGCAUCUGAAAUCAGCAAUAUAUCCAGUAGCCAAGUCCCAGAAAAGGUAUACACCAGAAGAAAAGUCCUAAAUGCAGAACCUACAGCAAGAAAGCAUAAUCCUCGGCUUUUAAAAAGUCUAGGGUGCAGAAGACUUUCAGACGUUUGUAUCCUAGAAACUACAGGAACUUUGCUAGACUCAGAGCCCUUCAAUGAUAAAAAUGAGGUCUUUUAUGAAGAUGCUAGGGUUGGAAGGAACCUCCAUGUUUUGCCCACUGACAAAACUGCUGUAAAUUCCAAUCCUGCAUUAGAAAGCCCGGUACAUAUUACAUCAGUUACCCAAGCAAAUAUCUGUGCUUUAGAAGGCCAUGAUACCUCAAAUAUUGUUGUUCCUUCCAUGUCAGAUGUAGAAAAACCCCUGCAUUUUGAAGAGAGGCUGGUGGGGCUUAAGAAUACUCUAGAUAUUAACGGUCUUGGAUCUCAGGAGGAAGGAAAAGGGUUCGAUAAGACAUCCAGUGCCCAGGAAGGUAAUUCAGAAAUAAUGAGACAGUGGAAUUCGGAGCUUACCAAUGAGCUAGACGGCAUUGUUGAAUUUCUGGGAUGCUAUUUCCACCCCAUGCCUGUUUUGUCUCUGUUGGUGAGACGAAAAGGGAAUGAAAUCUACAUUUGUGUUCUAUGCGGUCUUUUGGUAGAGAAGGAUAGAACUCUGUUUCUUUACAAGCUAGCAAUUGAAGGACCAAGAAUAGGAUGCCCAUGCUUUAUUGGUCACACAUCAGUAACCUGGCCGUCUUCAACUGGCAUCUUUGGUAGAGAAAUAUCAUUUGAAAGAUCUGGUUUGCAGCUCACCCCAGAUGGGCAGUGUCUUGUUUUACUGGGCAGCACUAGAGCACCCUGUUGCAGAGAAGGAAGACUAGAAUGUUUGUGCUCAGCAUGUGCAUCAGACUGCUUUGGGAGCAAUGGAGUGAAAAUUGUACAAGUGAAAGCUGGAUAUGUUUCAGUUCUGGUCAAAUUGAAAACAAAUGACAGUUUGCAAUGUAUAUUGGUGUGUGAACCUGAUCAUCUUGUUGCUGCUGGAGAGAAUAGCAGACUUCAUCUCUGGACCAUGAACUCAGUAUGGAGCGCACCAACAGAAGAAUUCACCAUACAGUCUAAUGAUUACACAUACCCAUGCAUAAUGGAGUUGAAGAGAAUUCCAAAAUGCACUUCUCUAGUUAUUGGGCAUGAUGGCUUUGGAGAAUUUACUCUAUGGGAUAUCUCAAAACGUAUAUUUGUUUCUAAAUUCUCUUCUCCAAGCAAUUCAGUUCAUCAAUUCUCUCCAAUCAGUUUGUUUCAUUGGCAAAGAGAAGUUCAUGGUCUCAGUUACUCUAAUGUGGAAGCACACGUUAAUAGACUCAUGGAUGCAACAAAAAUGUUUUCAGGGCACAGCAUAAACCAUUCCCUUCCUCACGAAGAUAUCGCCAUCUGGUUUCUUGUCUCAACUGCCCCUGACUCUGAUGCUCUACAUGACUAUGGUUCAAGUCAUUCCCAGAUAAAUCCAGUUGGAUACUGGAGGCUAGCGCUACUGAUGAAAAAUUCACUGAUAUUGGGAAGUGCAUUGGAUCCAAGGGCUGCUGCUAUCGGUACGUCAGCUGGCCAUGGAAUCAUUGGCACACUUGACGGACUUGUAUAUAUGUGGGAACUUUUGACAGGAAAAAAACUCGGGACUCUGCAUAAAUUUAAAGGUGGAAGUGCGUCGUGCAUUGCUACUGACGAUUCAGGCUCAGGGGUCUUGGCAAUAGCGGAUGAUAAAGCGUCCCUGAUCCUCUUCAUUUUCUGGUUUGCCAACUGCUGAGAGAGUGAUCUGUGGGCUAGAUCCCUAUAAAACGUCCCAUUACUUUGGUCAUAAAUGCAAAGGACAUCGUUAUGGUUGGGAUUUAUCAUUUAUCUAUGCAAAGUGAAUAUCCGAAAAGCAAAUGCUACCGUCAUACGUGGCACAGCAUUUUUAUUGUCAGAUUCGGGUGGGAUGCCCAAAAUCUGUUGAAGAUCUACUUUUGUAUACAAAAUGAUGCUGCAGUCACAAAGGGAUUCAGAAUUUAGAUAAACAAUUUGCCAUAUAGGUGGCUGUGCAAAUGCAGAGACACUUUAAGGCAUCAAAGUAGAAUAAUGCAUUCAAGUCUAAAUUCGAUAUGUUUUUCUUUUUCUUUUCUUUUUAACUGAAAUUCGAUACAUUGAAUGGUUGCUGUUGGGUGAAUUUCUUGUAUCUCGGGUGUGCUUUCUAUUGUAUUCCCUUUAUCAAUUUAUAUAAUGAGAAUUCAACUUAAUGAAGAUUAGAACGGGAAAUACACUUCAAAAAAAAAUCAGAGAUUUCAUUUGAAAUUUAUCCCGCAUUCUAAGAAUCUUAUGCUGAAAUUAUUAGAUGAUGAAAGGUGACGCAUAG